UGCUUGCUUGUUUUUUUUUUUUUUUUUUUUUUUUUUUUUUAUAGCCCUGGCUGUCUUGGAAUUCUUUCUGUAGAUCAGGCUGGCCUUGAACUCAUAUAUCCGUCUGCCUCUGCAUCCUCAGUGCUGGUACUGAAGGUAUGAGCCACCAUGACCCUGCUCCUUUUCUUUCUUGAUGGACUUCAUUAGGGUUGUGUACAGGAGCAUGAAUAAGAGGUCACUUACAGGAACAUGGCUGCCUGCACUAUUGAAGAAAAUGCCCCCCCCCCCCCCCAACCAUGAACUGCCAAGAGAUACUCGGGAGAGGCAGGGCCUGGCCUCCCUUUCUCCUCCAUGAAGCUCCCAAUAUGGCCGAGGUAGUUAGCUGCUUGCUAGAUCAAGAGUGCAGCACUCUGUGAAGACCGGAGACAGUGUUCCACAACACCGCCCUUCCUCUCGCCCCUGUCUUCCCCAGCCUUGCCUUGUUUUGAGGUGAAGGUCAUGAGUCUUAGCCCAAGCACGGAAGACCUUGAAUCUCCUGGUUCUCCUUCUCCACCUCCAGGCCUUGAACUUGUAGAGUAUAGAAGCUCCUGCUUCCACCUCAAAAUUGCUGGGAAUGUAGGAGUGUAACUGUGCCCCCAUGCCUGGUUUAUGUGCUACUGGGGAUGGAACCAGGACUUUGUGCGUGCCAAGCAAACACUGCCAGCCCAGCUACAUCUUUAGAUUCAGGAAAUUUACCAGUCAGUCAGUACUUUUAUUUUUAGAGCUAGGGUUAUAGAGACAAAAAGUUCAAAUAAGACAGAAAUCCCCACAUUUUAACAGUCAGAUCCUGACCCAGUGACUUGAAACAGCUUAUAUAAACAUUGAGAGCCUAACCCCCUGUUACCCACAAUGCCUGGCCCUAAAUGGCCCAGAAGGACAAGUCUUUUCAAUUUUACCUCGUAACAGCACAGCCAGCCUGUCCCCUCCGAUAUGACCACCCAGACAAAUGGCCUGUGAGAUAAGACUGCACAACCAACACCUCAUUGCUGAGAGACUGCCGCCCCUCAGCCUGGAGAUGGGAACUCUUCCCAGGGAGCUGAGCUUAGCCACUCACUAUGCAGUGCAAGGCAGCCUCAAGCACACGGCAAUCCUCCUGCCUCAGCCUCCCAAGUGCCAGGAUUACAGGUGUGAGGCACCACACCAGGGUCUUUACUCUGAGUUAACACGCCCUUGGUUGAGGUUGUCAUUUUGUUGAUUUGUUUUUGAGACUGACUGACCAUGUAUCCCAGGUUGGUCUUGAACUCAUGGCCUUUUUGCCUUGGUGUUCUGAGUGCUGGGAUUAUGGUUGAACACCGCCAUGCCAGGCAAUUUUCUUUUAGUUUACAUCAUCAGUCACUCUGGUCAUUUAGAAGAAACAGACCAGUUAUUUUACAGACCAUUCCUUCAGUGUGGUGUGUCUCAUUCUCCUCCAGGUCACAAUGGGAUCUGACCUCCCUCUAGGCUGGAUUGGUAUAAAAGUGACACCAUGUGACUCAGUCAUUUCCAGAAGUGUCAGGUGUUUGUGUGCCUGGAGAGGCUGAUGUUAGGUUUUGUCAGCUGUUAUGGGCCCUGGCAGGUCUUUCCAUCCCAUAAAGGUACAAUUUUCCGCCUUCGGAGUCAGGAAGGAACAGUCUGCCUGCCGGGACACUUCCAGGUCACAAAUAUUCCCUUCCUGCUGGUUCCUACAGGGUCGCUUCUGAUCCACAAACUCCUAUCCCCUUUAACUUUGUGGUCCUUAUAUUUACUCUCUGGGAGUCCUGAGAUGGCUUCUCUCAGCCUGGGCUGAAAAGUUUUUUGUUUUUUGUUUGUUUGUUUGUUUGUUUGCUGUGCGAAGCCAUCGCUGUUAGCAUCAUACAGGGCUGGGUGCUAGGCACCCUUUUCUCGGUUGCUGGGGUGGACCCUGCAGCCAGAAGGGCUUGGGCUGGCUCCUCCCAAGUAAGGAAUCCUUCCGGAACCACACCUCCACACACAGAGGCCAGAAGCAGAUGGGAAAACCAGAUAAGCCCGAGGCUCAGUUGUCAGGACCCUGACGGUGUCGGGAGGGAUCAGCUGAGACAAGGGGCUUGUCCUCCAGCCACUGGUUGUUCCUGGCGCGUUGUGGAACAGGGUAGGGCAGAGGCAGUGGUACAGGGCGUUCAGCGGGAAGACGGGCUGCAGGCAGGCCCCAAAUAAGGACACGCAAUGGGAAGCUUGGCUCCAGGAGUGCGGACGCCUCUCGUGGCGCGCAGGAAGCAAACCAACCAGCCCAGCCCAACUCCUAAGGGUCACAAGCUGCCAGCAAGGGAGGGAACCUCGGGCUAUCAAGGGACUAGGAUGCAGCUGGGAAGACAUCAGAUGCUCCGCUGCUUCUGGUUCCUGCAUUGCUGGGGAUCUGCAGGCGGCUGGGCUCCCAUUGCACCUCAGAACCGGAGCACCGUUAUUCUUUGAGAAGUGAAGGGCUCUCUCUCGUCAUCUGGGAAAGGAUAGAUUUUGCCAUAGAGUUCCAGAUGGCUUCAUGCCCCCUCUGCUUGCAAGCUGUGAUGUGAUGAACUGAUUGUUCGGGCGGGCGUCAGAAAGACCAAAUAAACAAGCAGAUAAAUGAACCGUGAAUCACCAAAAAGCCCUGAGCCACCGAAGAGUGGAAGAAAAGUCCUCAGUCAAACUAAACUUUCUGAGGACGAAGGGCUGGCCUGCUAGACUCUGGUGUUGCUAAGAGCAACGGAGGAGUUGAUUGCCUGUGUGGUUCUCUCAGGGCAACGCUGGCUGUGCGAGCACCUUUCUGAAUGGGAAAUGUCACUUCAUCUGAGCCCGAGCCACCAGCUUUGCGGGGCUGGAGAGAUUGCUCAGCGGUUAAGAGCACUGACUGCUCUUCCCGAGGUCCUGAGUUCAAAUCCCAGCAACCACAUGGUGGCUCACAACCAUCUGUAAUGAGAUCCGAUGCCCUCUUCUGGUGUGUCUGAAGACAGCUACAGUGUACUUAUAUAUAAUAAAUAAAUAAAACAUUUUAAAAAUA